rnacentral:rRNA from 1 species
CAGCAGUGGGGAAUAUUGCACAAUGGGGGAAACCCCUGAUGCAGCCAUGCCGCGUGUGUGAAGAAGGCCUUCGGGUUGUAAAGCACUUUCAGUAGGGAGGAAGGUAGUGUAGUUAACACCUGCACUAUUUGACGUUACCUACAGAAGAAGCACCGGCUAACUCCGUGCCAGCAGCCGCGGUAAUACGGAGGGUGCGAGCGUUAAUCGGAAUUACUGGGCGUAAAGCGCAUGCAGGCGGCCUGUUAAGUCAGAUGUGAAAGCCCGGGGCUUAACCUCGGAAUUGCAUUUGAAACUGGCAGGCUAGAGUCUUGUAGAGGGGGUAGGAAUUUCAGGUGUAGCGGUGAAAUGCGUAGAGAUCUGAAGGAAUACCAGUGGCGAAGGCGGCCCCUGGACAAAGACUGACGCUCAGAUGCGAAAGCGUGGGGAGCAAACAGGAUUAGAUACCCUGGUAG